rnacentral:rRNA from 1 species
GAUUAGAGUUUGAUCCUGGCUCAGAUUGAACGCUGGCGGCAUGCCUUACACAUGCAUGUCGAACGGCAGCAUGGAGGAGCUUGCUCCUCUGAUGGCGAGUGGCGAACGGGUGAGUAAAGCAUCGGAACGUACCGUGUAGUGGGGGAUAACGUAGCGAAAGUUACGCUAAUACCGCAUACGCACUGAGGUGGAAAGCAGGGGAUCGCAAGACCUUGCGCUAUACGAGCGGCCGAUGUCAGAUUAGCUAGUUGGUAGGGUAAAGGCCUACCAAGGCGACGAUCUGUAGCGGGUCUGAGAGGAUGAUCCGCCACACUGGGACUGAGACACGGCCCAGACUCCUACGGGAGGCAGCAGUGGGGAAUUUUGGACAAUGGGCGAAAGCCUGAUCCAGCCAUGCCGCGUGAGUGAAGAAGGCCUUCGGGUUGUAAAGCUCUUUCGGCUGGGAAGAAAUCGCACAGGCUAAUACUCUGUGUGGAUGACGGUACCAGCACAAGAAG